rfam:Lentisphaerae bacterium GWF2_44_16 gwf2_scaffold_2367, whole genome shotgun sequence.
GGGAAUGACUAACCUCUGGUGUUCCAAUUGUGUCGUCAGAUGCAGUGUUGGGUAGCUAUGUUGGGAAAGGAUAAGCGCUGAAAGCAUCUAAGUGCCAAGCCCCCCCUGAGAUUAUAUAUCCCUCUUCGUAAGAAGACUGAAGGCUCGUUGAAGACUACAACGUUGAUAGGCUGGAAGUGUAAGUACAGUAAUGUAUUCAGCUUACCAGUACUAAUAAGCCGUGCGGCUUAACCGC